GCCAGCGUUGUGUAGCGGUUUGAACAUUGGACUGAGACUCCGAAGAUCAGGAUUCGAUUCAUUGCUGGGC